CAGAGUUGCAAAACUCCCACAAACCAUCGCGAAUCUUACCCGUACGGUUGCCUCGGCGCUGGCGGUCCGGAAGGCCCUCGGGCCCCCCGGAUCCUCGGGUCUCCCGCUCGCGGGAGGCUGCCCGCCGGAGUGCCGAAACCAAACUCUUGAUAUUUUAUGUCUCUCUGAGUAAACUUUUAAAUAAGCCA
rnacentral:misc_RNA from 1 species